GUAAGGUUGUGAAUCUUUUUCUUUAAUAACUCCUAUUUUGGUAGCUAUAUGUUUGGCCUUCAAUGUAAAGGGAAUCCAUGUAUGGAAACUGUUUUUUCAAGAAUGAGGCUAGGUACAACUCCAAGAAUUUUACAGCUGGCUGUUUAGGAAGCCACUCUGAAAAACAGGCAUGUGAAAAAACAAAAAUGAUUCCUAUGAAAAGUGCCUGAUAAAAAUGUUUGUAGCCAGAUCAUCUUGAAGAUUAGUAGAACAGUAAUAUAAAGCACUGGAAAAUGCCUCAUAACUCAGUACCCUAAAAUAUUAUGUGAUUCCAGGGAAAGGGAAGAGGAAUUGCCGUCAUUUAUUUGGAACAUUUUAUAUAAAAAAUCAGGUUGCAAGUAGAUGUGUUAUUUUGAAGUGUUUGAUCUGGAUUUAGCAGGUGAAAAUCCUUUUCAGUUCCUAAGGUGUAAUAGGCCAUAAAGCUGGCUUACCCUGCUGCUGGAUUUUGGAAAUACUGCUUAGUUUGGAUUCCCAUAAUUGAGAGCACACAUCAUUGA
rnacentral:lncRNA from 1 species